rnacentral:rRNA from 2 species
UGGGGAAUAUUGCACAAUGGGCGCAAGCCUGAUGCAGCCAUGCCGCGUGUAUGAAGAAGGCCUUCGGGUUGUAAAGUACUUUCAGCAGGGAGGAAGGGAGUAAAGUUAAUACCUUUGCUCAUUGACGUUACCCGCAGAAGAAGCACCGGCUAACUCCGUGCCAGCAGCCGCGGUAAUACGGAGGGUGCAAGCGUUAAUCGGAAUUACUGGGCGUAAAGCGCACGCAGGCGGUUUGUUAAGUCAGAUGUGAAAUCCCCGGGCUCAACCUGGGAACUGCAUCUGAUACUGGCAAGCUUGAGUCUCGUAGAGGGGGGUAGAAUUCCAGGUGUAGCGGUGAAAUGCGUAGAGAUCUGGAGGAAUACCGGUGGCGAAGGCGGCCCCCUGGACGAAGACUGACGCUCAGGUGCGAAAGCGUGGGGAGCAAACAGG